GCCGGGGCCGCUCGGGGCGUGCGCUGGCCGCCCGCGCCCGCCCCCCGGAACACGAACAGCGGCCCUUUUCCCUGGGAGGAAAACUCGCCAGCCCGUUCCUGGUGUCGGUUUGUAGGUGCAGUGGGAGAGCAGCCUGGGUUUCUGCAGCAAGCCCUGCCAGGAAAGCAUCGUGUCAUCCCACCAGAUGGGAAGAACAUUAGAACAUUGCUGCAUGCAAAACAACUGAUCUUGUUGCAACUAGGUCAGUUUUUCCUGUCUUUCAGUCCAAGAAGAUCCAGGAUUCAGUUUUCUCUGCAGUUAAGAGACUCUACACAGUCUUCUUGAAAAUCCAAGUUCAUAUCUGGAUAUAACUCUUAGCCAAGGGUGGCCAGAGUGUCAAGGUGGUCAAAUGCAGUUCCCAUAACAAGGUGACACCACCUGAGCAGCGAGAGGGCCCUGCUGGCAUGGGAGCACAGGACAGCCCAAACCUCCAGCCCUCGAGGAACUGGGCUCACAGGGACUGCUGGAGGUGACACCCCUGAGCUGCUGUGGGUCCCUGCUGCAUUCCCAGGCAGCCUCACCUCAAAGGGGGCUCCUGUGGAAACAGUCACCUCUGUGAGGGUGCUCCCCACCCUCCUGCAUUAAAGGGAGACUGGUGAA